rnacentral:rRNA from 1 species
UACAGAGGGGGCAAGCGUUGUUCGGAAUUACUGGGCGUAAAGGGCGCGUAGGCGGCCGCCUAAGUCAGACGUGAAACCCCUCGGCUCAACCGGGGAACUGCGUCUGAUACUGGGUGGCUUGAAUCCGGGAGAGGGAUGCGGAAUUCCAGGUGUAGCGGUGAAAUGCGUAGAUAUCUGGAGGAACACCGGUGGCGAAGGCGGCAUCCUGGACCGGCAUUGACGCUGAGGCGCGAAAGCCAGGGGAGCAAACGGG